GAUGAACGCUGGCGGCGUGCCUAAUACAUGCAAGUCGAGCGAACAGAUGAGGAGCUUGCUCCUCUGACGUUAGCGGCGGACGGGUGAGUAACAUGUGGAUAACCUACCUAUAAGACUGGGAUAACUUCGGGAAACCGGAGCUAAUACCGGAUAAUAUAUUGAACCGAAUGGUUCAAUAGUGAAAGACGGUUUUGCUGUCACUUAUAGAUGGAUCCGCGCCGCAUUAGCUAGUUGGUAAGGUAACGGCUUACCAAGGCGACUAUGCGUAGGCGACCUGAGGGGGUGGUCGGCCAGACGGGAAGAGAGGAAGAGUCGAGACUCCGACAGGGAGCCGCAGUAGAGAAUCUUCCGGGAUGGACGAGAGGGUAACGGUACAAAACCGCGUGAACGAUGAAGGUCUUAGGAUCGGAGAACUCUGUAAGUAGGGGAGAACUAAAGCGUAAGUAGCUAUGCACAUAUUGACGGUACCUGAACAAGAAGCCACGGCUAACUACGUG
rnacentral:rRNA from 1 species